AGUGAACGCUGGCGGUUGGCCUAACACAUGCAAGUCGAACGGCAGCACAGGAGAGCUUGCUCUCUGGGUGGCGAGUGGCGGACGGGUGAGGAAUACAUCGGAAUCCACUCUGUCGUGGGGGAUAACGUAGGGAAACUUACGCUAAUACCGCAUACGACCUACGGGUGAAAGCAGGGGACCUUCGGGCCUUGCGCGAUUGAAUGAGCCGAUGUCGGAUUAGCUAGUUGGCGGGGUAAAGGCCCACCAAGGCGACGAUCCGUAGCUGGUCUGAGAGGAUGUUCAGCCACACUGGAACUGAGACACGGUCCAGACUCCUACGGGAGGCAGCAGUGGGGAAUAUUGGACAAUGGGCGCAAGCCUGAUCCAGCCAUACCGCGUGGGUGAAGAAGGCCUUCGGGUUGUAAAGCCCUUUUGUUGGGAAAGAAAUCCAGCUGGCUAAUACCCGGUUGGGAUGACGGUACCCAAAGAAUAAGCACCGGCUAACUUCGUGCCAGCCGCCGCCGUAA
rnacentral:rRNA from 1 species